GACGAACGCUGGCGGCGUGCUUAACACAUGCAAGUCGAACGAAGUGGCGAACGGGUGAGUAACGCGUAAUCAACCUGCCCUUCAGAGGGGGACAACAGUUGGAAACGACUGCUAAUACCGCAUACUGAAGGAGGGGAUUGGGUCUGAUUAGCUAGUUGGAAGGGUAACGGCCCACCAAGGCGACGAUCUCUAGCUGGUCUGAGAGGAUGAUCAGCCACACUGGGACUGAGACACGGCCCAGACUCCUACGGGAGGCAGCAGUGGGGAAUAUUGCACAAUGGGCGCAAGCCUGAUGCAGCCAUGCCGCGUGUAUGAAGAAGGCCUUAGGGUUGUAAAGUACUUUCAGCGGGGAGGCGUUACCCGCAGAAGAAGCACCGGCUAACUACGUGCCAGCCGCCGCGGUAAUAC
rnacentral:rRNA from 1 species